GGCCUAGUGGCGGAAGGUUCCGCAUCUGCCAUUCUUCAGUAAAAUUUUCGAAGCUUAAUGUAAGCAGAGUACGCUCGUUCGAAUCGAGCCUGGGCCA